rnacentral:rRNA from 1 species
AACGAACGCUGGCGGCAUGCCUAACACAUGCAAGUCGAACGAGACCUUCGGGUCUAGUGGCGCACGGGUGCGUAACGCGUGGGAACCUGCCCUUAGGUUCGGAAUAACUCCCCGAAAGGGGUGCUAAUACCGGAUAAUGUCUUCGGACCAAAGAUUUAUCGCCUUUGGAUGGGCCCGCGUUGGAUUAGCUAGUUGGUAGGGUAAAAACCUACCAAGGCGACGAUCCAUAGCUGGUCUGAGAGGAUGAUCAGCCACACUGGGACUGAGACACGGCCCAGACUCCUACGGGAGGCAGCAGUGGGGAAUAUUGGACCAUGGGCGAAAGCCUGAUCCAGCAAUGCCGCGUGAGUGAUGAAGGCCUUAGGGUUGUAAAGCUCUUUUACCCGGGAUGAUAAUGACAGUACCGGGAGAAUAAGCUCCGGCUAACUCCGUG